GACGAACGCUGGCGGCGUGCCUAAUACAUGCAAGUAGAACGCUGAAGGAGGAGCUUUCUUCUCCGGAUGAGUUGCGAACGGGUGAGUAACGCGUAGGUAACCUGCCUGGUAGCGGGGGAUAACUCUUGGAAACGAUAGCUAAUACCGCAUAACAGUAGAUGUUGCAUGACAUUUGCUUAAAAGGUGCAAUUUCAUCACUACCAGAUGGACCUGCGUUGUAUUAUGUAGUUGGUGAGGUAACGGCUCAACAAGGCGACGAUACAUAGCCGACCUGAGGGGGGGAUAGGCCACACUGGGAAUGAGACACGGCCCAGACUCCUACGGGAGGCAGCAGUAGGGAAUCUUCGGCAAUGGAGGGAAGGCUGAACGAGCAACGGCGCGUGAGUGAAGAAGGGUUUCGGAUCGGAAAGAUCUGUUGUAAGAGAAGAAAGAGUGUGAGAGUGGAAAGUGCACACUGUGACGGUAUCUUACCAGAAAGGGACGGCUAACUACGUG
rnacentral:rRNA from 1 species